rnacentral:rRNA from 1 species
GUGUCAGCAGCCGCGGUAAGACGGAGGUCCCAAGCGUUGUUCGGAAUCACUGGGCUUAAAGCGCGUGUAGGCGGGUUGGCACGUACCUUGUGAAAUCCCUUGGCUCAACCAAGGAACUGCUCGGUAUACGGCCGGUCUUGAGGCAGGUAGAGGUGCCUGGAACCUUAGGUGGAGCGGUGAAAUGCGUAGAUAUCUAAGGGAACGCCGGUGGCGAAAGCGGGGCACUGGGCCUGUCCUGACGCUAAGACGCGAAAGCGUAGGGAGCAAACGGGAUUAGAUACCCUAGUAGUCC